rnacentral:rRNA from 1 species
CCUACGGGAGGCUGCAGUGAGGAAUAUUGGUCAAUGGGCGUAAGCCUGAACCAGCCAAGUCGCGUGAGGGAUGAAGGUUCUGUGGAUCGUAAACCUCUUUUAUAAGGGAAUAAAGUGUGGGACGUGUCCUAUUUUGUAUGUACCUUAUGAAUAAGGAUCGGCUAACUCCGUGCCAGCAGCCGCGGUAAUACGGAGGAUCCGAGCGUUAUCCGGAUUUAUUGGGUUUAAAGGGUGCGGAGGCGGUCUUUUAAGUCAGCGGUGAAAGUCCGUGGCUCAACCAUAGAAUUGCCGUUGAAACUGGGGGGCUUGAGUAUGUUAGAGGCAGGCGGAAUGCGCGGUGUAGCGGUGAAAUGCUUAGAUAUCACGCAGAACCCCGAUUGCGAAGGCAGGUUGCCAAGCCAUGACUGACGCUGAGGCACGAAAGCGUGGGGAUCAAACAGGAUUAGAUACCCGUGUAGUC